rnacentral:rRNA from 1 species
UGGGGAAUCUUGGACAAUGGGGGCAACCCUGAUCCAGCCAUGCCGCGUGAGUGAUGAAGGCCUUAGGGUCGUAAAGCUCUUUCGCCUGUGAAGAUAAUGACGGUAGCAGGUAAAGAAACCCCGGCUAACUCCGUGCCAGCAGCCGCGGUAAUACGGAGGGGGUUAGCGUUGUUCGGAAUUACUGGGCGUAAAGCGCACGUAGGCGGACCAGAAAGUUGGGGGUGAAAUCCCGGGGCUCAACCCCGGAACUGCCUCCAAAACUAUUGGUCUAGAGUUCGAGAGAGGUGAGUGGAAUUCCAAGUGUAGAGGUGAAAUUCGUAGAUAUUUGGAGGAACACCAGUGGCGAAGGCGGCUCACUGGCUCGAUACUGACGCUGAGGUGCGAAAAGUGUGGGGAGCAAAACAGGAUUAGAUACCCUGGUAGUCCACACCGUAAAACGAUGAAUGCCAGUCGUCGGGUAGCAUGCUAUUCGGUGACACACCUAACGGAUUAAGCAUUCCGCCUGGGGAGUAC